rnacentral:rRNA from 1 species
UACGGAGGGUGCAAGCGUUGUCCGGAUUUAUUGGGUUUAAAGGGUGCGUAGGCGGCCCGUUAAGUCAGUGGUGAAAUCCUGGAGCUCAACUCCAGAACUGCCUUUGAUACUGGGAGUCUUGAGUUCGGGAGAGGUGAGUGGAACUGCGAGUGUAGAGGUGAAAUUCGUAGAUAUUCGCAAGAACACCAGUGGCGAAGGCGGCUCACUGGCCCGAUACUGACGCUGAGGUGCGAAAGCGUGGGGAGCAAACAGG